rnacentral:rRNA from 1 species
AGGCCUUUUCGGAGGUACUCGAGUGGCGAACGGGUGAGUAACACGUGGGUGAUCUGCCCUGCACUCUGGGAUAAGCCUGGGAAACUGGGUCUAAUACCGGAUAGGACCGCACUUUAGUGUGUGUGGUGGAAAGUUUUUUCGGUGUAGGAUGAGCCCGCGGCCUAUCAGCUUGUUGGUGGGGUAAUGGCCUACCAAGGCGGCGACGGGUAGCCGGACUGAGAGGUUGGUCGGCCACAUUGGGACUGAGAUACGGCCCAGACUCCUACGGGAGGCAGCAGUGGGGAAUAUUGCACAAUGGGCGCAAGCCUGAUGCAGCGACGCCGCGUGGGGGAUGACGGCCUUCGGGUUGUAAACUCCUUUCGCCAGGGACGAAGCGUUUUGUGACGGUACCUGGAGAAGAAGCACCGGCUAACUACGUGCCAGCAGCCGCGGUAAUACGUAGGGUGCAAGCGUUGUCCGGAAUUACUGGGCGUAAAGAGCUCGUAGGUGGUUUGUCACGUCGUCUGUGAAAUUCCACAGCUUAACUGUGGGCGUGCAGGCGAUACGGGCUGACUUGAGUACUGUGGGGGUAACUGGAAUUCCUGGUGUAGCGGUGAAAUGCGCAGGUAUCAGGAGGAACACCGAUGGCGAAGGCAGGUUACUGGGCGGUUACUGACGCUGAGGAGCGAA